rnacentral:rRNA from 1 species
GACGAACGCUGGCGGCGUGCCUAAUACAUGCAAGUUGAGCGAUGAAGAUUGGUGCUUGCACCAAUUUGAAAAGCAGCGAACGGGUGAGUAACGCGUGGGGAAUCUGCCUUUGAGCGGGGGACAACAUUUGGAAACGAAUGCUAAUACCGCAUAACAACUUUAAACAUAAGUUUUAAGUUUGAAAGAUGCAAUUGCAUCACUCAAAGAUGAUCCCGCGUUGUAUUAGCUAGUUGGUGAGGUAAAGGCUCACCAGGGCGAUGAUACAUAGCCGACCUGAGAGGGUGAUCGGCCACAUUGGGACUGAGACACGGCCCAAACUCCUACGGGAGGCAGCAGUAGGGAAUCUUCGGCAAUGGACGAAAGUCUGACCGAGCAACGCCGCGUGAGUGAAGAAGGUUUUCGGAUCGUAAAACUCUGUUGGUAGAGAAGAACGUUGGUGAGAGUGGAAAGCUCAUCAAGUGACGGUAACUACCCAGAAAGGGACGGCUAACUACGUG